UACGUAGGCAGCAAGCGUUGUUCGGAGUUACUGGGCGUAAGGGUGUGUAGGCGGUUUUCUAAGUCUGGUGUGAAAUCUCCAGGCUUAACCUGGAAAGUGCAGAGGGGACUGUUCAGCUAGAGGAUGGGAGAGGAGCGCGGAAUUCCCGGUGUAGCGGUGAAAUGCGUAGAGAUCGGGAGGAAGGCCGGUGGCGAAGGCGGCGCUCUGGAACAUUUCUGACGCUGAGGCUCGAAAGCGUGGGGAGCGAACAGG
rnacentral:rRNA from 1 species